GGGAAACUGGGAGUAAUACCGUAUGAGCCCGAGGAGGGGAAAGAUUUAUCGGCAAAGGAUCGGCCCGCGUUGGAUUAGGUAGUUGGUGGGUAAUGGCCUACCAAGCCGACGAUCCAUAGCUGGUUUGAGAGGAUGAUCAGCCACACUGGGACUGAGACACGGCCCAGACUCCUACGGGAGGCAGCAGGUGGGGAAUCUUAGACAAUGGGGAAACCCUGAUCUAGCCAUGCCGCGUGAUCGAUGAAGGCCUUAGGGUUGUAAAGAUCUUUCAGGUGGGAAGAUAAUGACUGUACCACCAGAAGAAGCCCCGGCUAACUCCGUG
rnacentral:rRNA from 1 species